rnacentral:rRNA from 1 species
GUGGGGAAUAUUGGGCAAUGGGCGAAAGCCUGACCCAGCAACGCCGCGUGAAGGAAGAAGGUCUUCGGAUCGUAAACUUCUAUCCUUGGUGAAGAUAAUGACGGUAGCCGAGAAGGAAGCCCCGGCUAACUACGUGCCAGCAGCCGCGGUAAUACGUAGGGGGCAAGCGUUGUCCGGAAUGAUUGGGCGUAAAGGGCGCGUAGGCGGCCCGGUAAGUCUGAAGUGAAAGUCCUGCUUUUAAGGUGGGAAUUGCUUUGGAUACUGUCGGGCUUGAGUGCAGGAGAGGGAAGCGGAAUUCCCGGUGUAGCGGUGAAAUGCGUAGAGAUCGGGAGGAACACCAGUGGCGAAGGCGGCUUACUGGACUGUAACUGACGCUGAGGCGCGAAAGUGUGGGGAGCAAACAGGAUUAGAAACCCGGGUAGUCC